rnacentral:rRNA from 1 species
ACCUUAACUUACGGUGAAUAGCCCCGGGAAAUCGGGAUUAAUACACCAUAACAUUACUGAAAGGCAUCUUUUGGCAAUUAAAGAACUUCGGUUAGAGAUGGGCAUGCGGGACAUUAGCUAGUUGGUGAGGUAACGGCUCACCAAGGCGACGAUGUCUAGGGGUCCUGAGAGGGUUAUCCCCCACACUGGUACUGAGACACGGACCAGACUCCUACGGGAGGCAGCAGUAAGGAAUAUUGGUCAAUGGGCGCAAGCCUGAACCAGCCAUGCCGCGUGCAGGAAGACGGCCCUAUGGGUUGUAAACUGCUUUUGUCAGGGAAUAAAUGUAGGUACGUGUACUUACUUGAAGGUACCUGAAGAAUAAGCAUCGGCUAACUCCGUGCCAGCAGCGGC